rnacentral:lncRNA from 1 species
GGCUCGCUGGGUAGGCAUGAUUUGAAACAUAGAAGACCCAAAUUUUAAGGAAAGAAAGUUAUGGCCAGGUAGUUAAAGGCUAAAGUAAAAGGGGUUAAGAUAGCAGGGAUGGAAAGGCUGUGGGUACAGGAUCUUAGGGACAUGUCCUUAGUGAGUGUCUGGGUCCUAGGUAGCUGGAAACCUGCUUGGAGAUGUGAGGGAUGUCCAGCGACUGCUUCCCCUGAUGGGCAGACAGGUUACAAGGGGAGAUUCAGUCCCUAAGAUAGAAGUGUAGAAACCAGGACUAGGGGGAUAGAAACUAGGAAAUUAGUACAAUAACAAUUGGCAUUACACAUUUGCAUUUGGGUAUCUCAGCCAACAGACUUCUUCAGAAAUCAUCUUCUGACAGGAAUAAGAUCCCUUUAGGAAAUCGGAUUCCUGAGUUGUUUGCAGAGUUGGUAUGUGAUGUUUCUGUUAAUGAAUAUCCUUUUGCAAAGUACACAUUAACUAUAGCAUCUAUAAACACUUGAGUAACAAUAUCUUACAGUUGAAUCUCUUUACCCCAGAUUCUGGGGAAAAUUCAGGAAAGCUUUGAGCUAUUCCAAGUUCAAGAUCCAAACUUCACUUAAGGCUGCAAAUACAAACCAUCAAUUAAUAAACUUCACCUACUUCUCAAAGUAUGUUCCUAAUAAUUUGAGAACAUUCAAUUAGCCUGAUAGGUUGUUUGGGGAAAUGGAAACUUUAAUUUUCCAAUUUGUAUUAUGUGCUGAUUAUGGUGAUGUCACAAAGGAAGAAGGUCCAAAAGGGAAAAUAUCUCCACAUGAGACAAAGAACACAGUGAGUGGCUUCGUGUACCAAGCAUGGCUGGCACUGCCAUUAUUGUUUCACUCAAGGAUUCGCAGCCUAGAUGGUCAGGAAAAUUCAGUCCAAGAUGCAGAAUUGGCCAAUUCUACACCGAGGGUCAACAACUAUGCGUCCAUAGGUUGCCCGACCAAAAGCACUCAGUUCCAGUACUGAGACUCAAAGUUUAAAGUUUCUUCAGAUAGUUUACUUCAAAGAACACAGAGAUCCCAGAGAAAAUUGUUUUGAAAAAGUAACUGAAACAAUCUCAAGAAGAAAUAAUUCAUGUUGGUCAAAUAAAUGGAGGUCCUUGGGCA